GCCACAUCACGUUGAAAGAUUGGUUCCCGUACAGUCACCAAAGUUAAGCAAUCUCAAUCCUGGUCAGUACCCAGAUGGGUGACCACUUGGGAAUACUCGGUGCUGUAAG